GCGCGAAAACUUUACAAUGCGGGAAACCGUGAUAAGGGAAUCUCGAGUGCCAGCAUAUAAUGUUGGCUGUCCAGAUGCCUAAAAAGCAUCUGUUAGCAAGGGCCGGGCAAGACCGGUGCCAGCCGCCGCGGUAACACCGGCGGCCCGAGUGGUAACCGCUUUAUUGGGUCUAAAGGGUCUGUAGCCGGCCAAGUAAGUCCCUUGGGAAAUCUGGCAGCUUAACUGUCAGGCUGCUAGGGGAUACUGCUAGGCUUGGGACCGGGAGAGGUGAGAGGUACCUUGGGGGUAGGGGUGAAAUCUUGUGAUCCUCGGGGGGACCACCAGUGGCGAAGGCGUCUCACCAGAACGGGUCCGACGGUAAGGGACGAAAGCUAGGGGCACGAACCGGAUUAGAAACCCCAG
rnacentral:rRNA from 1 species